UAAUUGAAGAGUUUGAUCAUGGCUCAGAUUGAACGCUGGCGGCAGGCCUAACACAUGCAAGUCGAACGGUAACAGGGAGCAGCUUGCUGCUCUGCUGACGAGUGGCGGACGGGUGAGUAAUGUCUGGGAAACUGCCUGAUGGAGGGGGAUAACUACUGGAAACGGUAGCUAAUACCGCAUAACGUCUACGGACCAAAGUGGGGGACCUUCGGGCCUCAUGCCAUCAGAUGUGCCCAGAUGGGAUUAGCUAGUAGGGGGGGUAA
rnacentral:rRNA from 1 species